rnacentral:lncRNA from 1 species
UGCAGAGAUGAUAAAAAUGAUGGAGUCAUCAAUGCAGUAUUACUUAGUGUGAAUUUGACUUAAAGUCACUAUUCCAUUAUGGUAUAAUGUAGUAUGACAAAAUCACCAAAUGACGAAAUCCUCAACGGACUGUAAAUACAGUGCGGCAUCAUGACGUCAUUCUCAAAAAUGUUUUCAAAAACUCCAAGUGUUUAUCGAAAGAAAUUUUC